GACGAACGCUGGCGGUAUGCUUAACACAUGCAAGUCGAACGAGACAAAGGUGCUUGCACCUUUUGAAAGUGGCGAACGGGUGAGUAACGCGUGGGUAACCUACCCUCUGGAAAGGAAUAGCCCCGGGAAACUGGGUGUAAUACCUUAUAAGAUACGUUUGUCGCAUGGCAUCUGUAUUAAACGCUCCGGCGCCAGAGGAUGGACCCGCGUCCCAUUAGCUAGUUGGUGAGAUAACAGCUCACCAAGGCGACGAUGGGUAGCCGGUCUGAGAGGGCGAACGGCCACACUGGAACUGAGACACGGUCCAGACUCCUACGGGAGGCAGCAGUGGGGAAUAUUGCGCAAUGGGGGCAACCCUGACGCAGCAAUACCGCGUGAGUGAAGAA
rnacentral:rRNA from 1 species